rnacentral:sRNA from 1 species
GCCUGGUGCAGUGGUGCACACCUGUAAUCCCAGAGGCUCUGGAGGCUGAGACAGGAGGAUCACAAGUUCAAAGCCAGCCUCAGCAAUGGCGGGAGAGGCACUAAGCAACUCAGUGAGACUCUGUCUCUA